UACGUAGGGACCAAGCGUUGUUCGGAUUUACUGGGCGUAAAGGGCGCGUAGGCGGCGUGGUAAGUCUGAUGUGAAACUCCCCUCGCUCAACGAGGGAACUGCGUCGGAUACUGGCAGACUCGAGUACCGGAGAGGAAGGUGGAAUUCUCGGUGUAGAGGUGAAAUUCGUAGAUAUCGAGAGGAACACCGGUGGCGAAGGCGGCCUUCUGGACAGUAACUGACGCUGAGACGCGAAAGCGUGGGGAGCAAACAGG
rnacentral:rRNA from 1 species